UAUGACCACAUCAUGUUGAAACACCAGUUCCUGUAAGAUCACCAAAGUUAAGCUACAUUUAAGCUGGUCAGUAGCUAGAUGGGUGACUACAUGGAAAUACCAGGUGCUGUAAG